GACAGAGGGUGCAAACGUUGUUCGGAAUUACUGGGCGUAAAGCGCGUGUAGGCUGCUCGGAAAGUCGGAUGUGAAAGCCCUGGGCUCAACCUAGGAAGUGCAUUCGAAACUUCCGAGCUGGAGUACUGGAGAGGAAGGCGGAAUUCUCGGUGUAGAGGUGAAAUUCGUAGAUAUCGAGAGGAACACCGGUGGCGAAGGCGGCCUUCUGGACAGUAACUGUCGCUGAGACGCGAAAGCGUGGGGAGCAAACAGG
rnacentral:rRNA from 1 species